rnacentral:rRNA from 1 species
UGGGGAAUAUUGGACAAUGGGCGAAAGCCUGAUCCAGCCAUGCCGCGUGGAUGAAGAAGGCCCUAGGGUUGUAAAGUCCUUUCGGUGGUGAAGAUAAUGACGGUAACCACAGAAGAAGCCCCGGCUAAUUUCGUGCCAGCAGCCGCGGUAAUACGAAAGGGGCUAGCGUUGUUCGGAAUUACUGGGCGUAAAGCGCACGUAGGCGGCCUAGCAAGUUGGGGGUGAAAUCCCAGGGCUCAACCCUGGAACU